AAUGAACGCUGGCGGCAUGCCUUACACAUGCAAGUCCAACGGCAGCAUGACCUAGCUUGCUAGGUUGAUGGCGAGUGGCGAACGGGUGAGUAAUGCAUCGGAACGUGCCUUUUAGUGGGGGAUAACGUAGCGAAAGUUACGCUAAUACCGCAUAUUCUCUGAGGAGGAAAGCAGGGGACCUUCGGGCCUUGCGCUAGAAGAGCGGCCGAUGUCGGAUUAGCUAGUUGGUGAGGUAAAGGCUCACCAAGGCAACGAUCCGUAGCGGGUCUGAGAGGAUGAUCCGCCACACUGGGACUGAGACACGGCCCAGACUCCUACGGGAGGCAGCAGUGGGGAAUUUUGGACAAUGGGCGCAAGCCUGAUCCAGCCAUGCCGCGUGAGUGAAGAAGGCCUUCGGGUUGUAAAGCUCUUUCGGCUGGGAAGAAAUCGCACCCUCUAAUACAGGGUGUGGAUGACGGUACCAGCAUAAGAAGCACCGGCUAACUACGUG
rnacentral:rRNA from 1 species